rnacentral:rRNA from 1 species
CCUACGGGCGGCUGCAGUGAGGAAUAUUGGUCAAUGGGCGCGAGCCUGAACCAGCCAAGUCGCGUGAGGGAUGACGGCCCUACGGGUUGUAAACCUCUUUUGCCGGGGAGCAACGGGCGCCACGUGUGGCGCCACUGAGAGUACCCGGAGAAAAAGCAUCGGCUAACUCCGUGCCAGCAGCCGCGGUAAUACGGAGGAUGCGAGCGUUAUCCGGAUUUAGUGGGUUUAAAGGGAUCGUAGGGGGAUCGUUAAGUCGGUGUUAAAAUUGAGGGGCUCAACCCCUUCCCGCCAUUGAAACUGGCGCUCUUGAGUGGAAGAGAAGUAUGCGGAAUGCGUGGUGUAGCGGUGAAAUGCAUAGAUAUCACGCAGAACCCCGAUUGCGAAGGCAGCAUGCCGGCUUCCGACUGACGCGGAAGCACGAAAGCGUGGGGAUCGAACAGGAUUAGAUACCCGUGUAGUC